UUUUUCUUAAUAACAUUUGUUUUGAGCUUCUGUUAGGCAUGAUUUUUUUCUUUUCUUUUCUUUAUUUAUAAAAAAUAUAUCCUGGAGAAGGAACAUGACCAAUGCAAACAGGUCGAUCGAGAGGUAGGAGGAUGUUGAGGUGAAUUAAAGGUUGUGAUUAUGAGAAGUAUUUUCUUAACAUAAAUGUUAGUCACAUGUUACCUUGGUUGGGUUCAGCUUAAAUCCAAUCCUAUUUACAGCUGUAUAUAUAAAUGUAUUGUUAUUU
rnacentral:lncRNA from 1 species